rnacentral:rRNA from 1 species
UACGGAGGGGGCGAGCGUUAUUCGGAAUUAUUGGGCGUAAAGGGCGCGUAGGCGGCCGCGAUAAGUACAAAGGUGAAAUCCCUCGGCUCAACUGAGGAACUGCCUUUGAGACUGUCGAGCUUGAGGCCGGGAGGGGGUAGCGGAAUUCCAGUGUGCGGUAGAAAUGCGUAGAUAUUGGGAGGAACACCAGUGGCGAAGGCGGACUGACCUGGACCGGUUCGUCGACGCUGAUG